GAUGAACGCUGGCGGCGUGCCUAAUACAUGCAAGUCGAGCGAACAGACGAGGAGCUUGCUCCUCUGACGUUAGCGGCGGACGGGUGAGUAACACGUGGAUAACCUACCUAUAAGACUGGGAUAACUUCGGGAAACCGGAGCUAAUACCGGAUAAUAUAUUGAACCGCAUGGUUCAAUAGUGAAAGACGGUUUUGCUGUCACUUAUAGAUGGAUCCGCGCCGCAUUAGCUAGUUGGUAAGGUAACGGCUUACCAAGGCAACGAUGCGUAGCCGACCUGAGAGGGGGAGCGGCCACACUGGACCUGAGACACGGUCCAGAAUCCUACGGGAGGAAGCAGUAGGGAAUCUUCCGCAAUGGGCGAAAGCCUGACGGAGCAACGCCGCGUGAGUGAUGAAGGUCUUCGGAUCGUAAAACUCUGUUAUUAGGGAAGAACAAAUGUGUAAGUAACUAUGCACGUCUUGACGGUACCUAAUCAGAAAGCCACGGCUAACUACGUG
rnacentral:rRNA from 1 species